AUUGAACGCUGGCGGCAGGCCUAACACAUGCAAGUCGAACGAGUGGCGGACGGGUGAGUAAUGUCUGGGAAACUGCCUGAUGGAGGGGGAUAACUACUGGAAACGGUAGCUAAUACCGCAUACCAUCGGAUGUGCCCAGAUGGGAUUAGCUAGUAGGUGGGGUAACGGCUCACCUAGGCGACGAUCCCUAGCUGGUCUGAGAGGAUGACAUGGCAAGCUGGAACUUAGACACGGUCCAGAGUCCUACGGGAGGCAGCAGUGGGGAAUAUUGCACAAGGGGCGCAAGCCUGAUGAAGCGAUGCAGCGUGUAUGAGGAAGGCCUUAGGGAUGUAAAGUACUUUCAGAGGGGAGGCGUUACCCGCAGGAGAAGCACCGGCUAACUCCGUGCCAGCAGCCGCGGUGAUUC
rnacentral:rRNA from 1 species